rnacentral:lncRNA from 1 species
GACACUGGCAAGGCUCUUCCUGGGGCUAGAGGAUGAGUGGCGGGAGAAAGUUCCAGAACCCACCAGCCAGAAGCCCAGAUAACUGUCUGCCCAAGGCUGUGUGAUGGAAAUACAGACGCUCUCGCCUAAACCCAGUUCCUCACCACUUCCCCUCACUUUUCAGUGCCAUUUCUUCCCACAUUUGGCUGUUUGUUUUUUCUUUUUCCACAUUUGGAUACCUAUUAUGAGGGAUCUUUCCUUUGCUUUCUAGCAUGUUCCUCCACCCCCACCCCUUUUCCCUCUAUUAAUCAAGAGAAACUUCAAAGUCAAUGGGAUGGUCGGAUCUCACAGGCUGAGAACUCGUUCACCUCCAAGCAUUUCAUGAAAAAGCUGCUUCUUAUUAAUCAUGCAAACUCUUGCCACGAUGUGAAGGGUUUGACAAAUCUUUCAAAAUAAAAAGUAAUGACUUAGAAACUGCCUUCCUGAGUGAGUUUCCGUGUAUCUUGGUGACCUCAUUUCCCUGACACGUGACAUACAUGUGCACACACGACUGUGCAAACACAAAGCUUUGCAAAUAUAUGACUAUGAUUUUGUAUACACCCCUGUGUACACACACACACAGGCUUACUCAUACGUGGGGUAGGUAUGGGGUACCUACAAGCACGGGUUUAGCUUUCUUUUAAUUUUAUGACCUGUGGGCUGACCUUCUUCAUGACUGUACUUCAUUAUCCAAGCACCAGGCUAAGCAAUGCUCUCCUUUCACUAACCAUUCGCUCAUUCAUUCACUAAGUGUUUAUGAUGCGUCUACCAUGGACAGAUCCCUUCCCAGGUGCCAGAGGCACCAAUGUGGCCAAGCAGACAAAGCACUGGUUCUUCUGGAACUUAGGGUCUAGUGAGGAAUACAUUAAAGAAUUGUACAACUAAGUAUAAACGACGGCUGUGAUAGGUGCUCUGAGAGAAGACUGUAAGAAAACAGGAGUGUGUGUUGCAGGACGACACAGCCUUAUUCCCGAGGUGCACUGUCUUCAGAUGGUAGCCACUUCCUGUGCAUGGC